UUCCGGUUGAUCCCGCCGGACCCGACUGCUAUUUGGGUGAGGAUAAGCCAUGCGAGUCGAAUGGGAUACCUAAAAUUCCCAUGGCAGACUGCUCAGUAACACAUGAUCAACUUACCCUAUGGAGAAAAAUAACCUCGGGAAACUGAGGAUAAUGAUUCAUAGUUGAAGAGGCUUGGAAAAGUUUUUCAAUGAAAUGGAUAAGAAAAAUGGUUCUUAUUUGCCAUAGGAUAGGAUCGUGGUCGAUUAUGGUUGUUGGUGAGGUAAAGGCUCACCAAGCCGAUAAUCGAUGGGGGCCGUGAGAGCGGGAGCCCCGAGAUGGGUACUGAGACAACGACCCAGGCCUUACGAGGCGCAGCAGGCGCGAAACCUCCGCAAUACACGAAAGUGUGACGGGGUUACCCAAAGUGUUCAUUUCUGAACUGUGGUAGGUGAGUAAUGUCCCCUACUAGAAAGGAGAGGGCAAGGCUGGUGCCAGCCGCCGCGGUAAAGCCAGCUCUUCAAGUGGUCGGGAUAAUUAUUGGGCUUAAAGUGUCCGUAGCCUGUUUAGUAAGUUCUUGGUAAAAUCGGGUAGCUUAACUAUCCGCGUGCUAGGAAUACUGCUAUACUAGAGGGCGGGAGAGGUCUGAGGUACUACAGGGGUAGGGGUGAAAUCUUAUAAUCCUUGUAGGACCACCAGUGGCGAAGGCGUCAGACUGGAACGCGCCUGACGGUGAGGGACGAAAGCCAGGGGAGCGAACCGGAUUAGAUACCCGGGUAGUCCUGGCCGUAAACGAUGCAUACUAGGUGAUGGCACGGCCAUGAGCCGUGUCGGUGCCGUAGGGAAACCGUUAAGUGUGCCGCCUGGGAAGUACGGUCGCAAGGCUAAAACUUAAAGGAAUUGGCGGGGGAGCACCACAAAGGGUGAAGCCUGCGGUUCAAUUGGAGUCAACGCCGGGAAAUCACUAGUGCGG
rnacentral:rRNA from 1 species